UGUCAAUUUGGCCGAGUGGUUAAGGCGACAGACUUGAAAUCUGUUGGGCGCUGCCCGCGCAGGUUCGAACCCUGCAGUUGACGGAUUA